rnacentral:pre_miRNA from 1 species
CUCAGGAGAUGGGGGUCCCUCAGCCCAGAUUGUGAGAGGGCACAGGCCAGGCCGAGGAACCCCACUGGUGCAUG